rnacentral:rRNA from 1 species
GACGAACGCUGGCGGCGUGCUUAACACAUGCAAGUCGAACGGAAAGGCCCUGCUUUUGCGGGGUGCUCGAGUGGCGAACGGGUGAGUAACACGUGAGUAACCUGCCCUUGACUUUGGGAUAACUUCAGGAAACUGGGGCUAAUACCGGAUAGGAGCUCCUGCUGCAUGGUGGGGGUUGGAAAGUUUCGGCGGUUGGGGAUGGACUCGCGGCUUAUCAGCUUGUUGGUGAGGUAGUGGCUUACCAAGGCUUUGACGGGUAGCCGGCCUGAGAGGGUGACCGGCGACAUUGGGACUAAGGUACGGCCCAGACGCCUACGGGAGGCAGCAGUGGGGAAUAUUGCACAAUGGGCGGAAGCCUGAUGCAGCAACGCCGCGUGCGGGAUACCGGCCUUCGGGGUGUAAACCGCUUUCGCCUGUGACGAAGCGUGAGUGACGGUAAUGGGUAAAAAAGCACCGGCUAACUACGUG